UACAGAGGGGGCAAGCGUUGUUCGGAAUUACUGGGCGUAAAGGGCGCGUAGGCGGCCUGCUAAGUCGAACGUGAAAUCCCCGGGCUCAACCCGGGAACUGCGUCCGAUACUGGUAGGCUUGAAUUCGGGAGAGGGAUGCGGAAUUCCAGGUGUAGCGGUGAAAUGCGUAGAUAUCUGGAGGAACACCGGUGGCGAAGGCGGCAUCCUGGACCGAUAUUGACGCUGAUGCGCGAAAGCCAGGGGAGCAAACGGG
rnacentral:rRNA from 1 species